CUAGGUUAUUAAAAAGCUGACUUUUCACAGCUCCUAAACCGGGGGGGGGACAAACGUCGGUCCUGAAGAGCCGCAUCCCUGCACACCUGAACAAGCUAUUCAAGGUCUGAAGGGUUACUAGAAAUCAGGUUAGUUUUAAUUAGGGUUGGAGCUGAACUCUGCUGCAGCUGUCCUGAACCCUUCUUACCCAGCUAUUCAUAGUAGAUAACCAUUUUAUCAUUUUAUCAUUGUCCAUUUGUGUCAUUUCAGAUUACAACACCGUUUUAGCGAUCAAAUGUAACUUACUCUGUGUUCUUCCUUGGUAGUCACCUGAGGGUCUCAAGACAGUAAAGGUGGAUGAGCACUCCAGCUGUCGCUAUGAUGGUCCGCCUGAGAGAUGCCCACUGGAGCUGAGAAAGAUGGAGUGGGGUGAGCAACACACCAGCUGUCGCCGUCAUGGUCUGGCUGAGACAUACGCAGUGGAGCUGAGAAAAGUGGAGUAGCUAGCCAAAUACAACUAAUUAUUUACCUUGGAAGCUGGGGAGACUCUCACACCAGCAAUUUCAGGUUCUGAGUUUAUGUCAGAAGUAUAGCUGGCCUUCUUCCAAUUGUUGGCUACAUUCUGAAAUGAUGCUGAAAACAAGAAAUGCAGGAUUUACACAAGCUCCAGUCUGGAUCCAGAACACCUGAGAAGAGAUGAUGCUGACCCUCAGAGGACUGCAGAUGAUGCUAACCCAGAGACAACAUACAGAACUUCCACAUUUUGACUCGUGCAGGAUUCUUGCUCUAUGUCUGGUCCACCCUUUUUCUGGCUGUGGUGCCUCCAUUGUCCUAACACUCUUCAGCAACCUGUCAAGAUCUUUAUAUGGUGGCCACCAGGACUUGGCAGCUGGUCCAGUCGUCCCUUCUCCCUCAAACUCCACGAUUAGAAAUCAACUGUUGUUGAGAGGUCAUCCACUAAAUGAAUGCCAAGUGUAGAGGAUGGCAGUGGAUAGUCAAAAAAGGAUUCCUGGUGGUUGAAGAGUGUGUUGGCUUGUUCUCAACUCUUUAUAUUGUGCAUCAUGGAAGGAUGCAGGAUGCAGGAAGAGGACCAGUCGCAUGUGGUUUUUCGAGCAGAUGUGGCCUGGUUUUGCAUUUCUGAGAGUCUUUUUAUUAUUUGACUGAGUGGGCAUGUUGGUUUCCUCAGAAGUCUUUUGAGUUUGUUUAGGUGAUUCUCAUACUUGAAAGCACUGAAGUUGUCAAGGACACCAUGCUUUUUCGCAUCAUCUGCAAGAUGUACAAGGCAGAGUGCAUUGUAGGACAAGAAUUGUGGACCAUACAGUUGACCAAAGUGAGAGACAACGAGCACCACCUACAAGUCAGAGGACCCAUCUUCAGCCACAAGAGAAGAAGCUAUCUCAUGAUGGUGCAUGUAGUCGAGGGGAAAACCAAAGACCAUGUUUAGGGAUGUUUCUUCAAGAGGUGAUGGACCGUGAUGAUGAUCAGCAUCUGUCUUAUUUCUGAAGCUCUCAUUAGUUCUUAAAGGCAUGUCAGUUCUUGGAAAUGUCAUUCUGUUUUCUAGGUACAAACCAUCCUGUGUGCAUUUUUCACAUCCGUGAUAGCCUGUGUGACCUUUAACAUUUUUCAGGAAUGCAUGGGCAGGUGCAUCACAGACCAUCGAAGAGAAAUUGAACAUCACUCCAUCGAAUUCAAAUCCUUUAGCUAAUUCAUUUACUUCAGAGAUGAAUUCUUGAAGUGUCUCUAGGAUGGGCCAGAACUGUGUUGCUGAGCUCUUAUAGAGUGGCAAACCAUCAAUGCUGACCUGAAGCUCAAAACGUGUGAAUGUUGCGCAGAAUGUCAACAAAUGUUGAGCAAUGAAUUCAAUGCCACAUGUGUAAUUUUGUGUUCAGUAGCCCAGGAUGCCAAAUCAUCAUCUAAUGAAUUUGGAUCUGAUUCUGAUUCUGUGUCUGAUUCACUGUCAUCAGGAACACAUCUUCAGUCUCAUCAACAUGAGAGAGACAGUCCAUGAAUGUAUCUUCAUCAUCAUUUUGACCUUGAAUGGUUUUACUGUGCAUCCAACCCAAUUCUUUCCCCCAAGUUGUUGCCUGUAUUGUCUGCAGUUGCUGAUCCACCUUGUCCUUUGCUUUCCGUCUCAGUGUCCAAUAGGAUGGUUCAUUUGAAGCCAUAGUAUUAAGACCUUAAUACAAACAACCCUAUUUUUUGUUUUUUGUUUACUGGCCUACCAAGUCAUAUGCAUUAACAUAAUGUACAUACCUUUAGUUGGUUGACGGAUGGUAAUGGAUAACUUUCUGUAGUCAAAUUAAACAAAGGAAAUAGUUAAAUGCAAAAAUUUAAAAUAACUACAUAAAAAAUAAACAAUUACAUAUCUAAA